rnacentral:rRNA from 1 species
AACGAACGCUGGCGGCAGGCUUAACACAUGCAAGUCGAGCGCCCCGCAAGGGGAGCGGCAGACGGGUGAGUAACGCGUGGGAACGUACCCUUUGCUACGGAAUAGCUCCGGGAAACUGGAAUUAAUACCGUAUGUGCCCUACGGGGGAAAGAUUUAUCGGCAAAGGAUCGGCCCGCGUUGGAUUAGCUAGUUGGUGGGGUAAUGGCCUACCAAGGCGACGAUCCAUAGCUGGUCUGAGAGGAUGAUCAGCCACAGGGGGACUGAGACACGGCCCAAACUCCUACGGGAGGCAGCAGUGGGGAAUAUUGGACAAUGGGCGCAAGCCUGAUCCAGCCAUGCCGCGUGAGUGAUGAAGGCCUUAGGGUUGUAAAGCUCUUUCACCGGAGAAGAUAAUGACGGUAUCCGGAGAAGAAGCCCCGGCUAACUUCGUGCCAGCAGCCGCGGUAACAC